rfam:Arthrospira platensis NIES-39 DNA, nearly complete genome.
AGGAGCCGUGUGCAGGGAAACUCGCAAGCACGGUUUGGAAUUGGAGUUGGGGAAGGUGACUUCUCUUUCGACCAUAAC